AACAGCUCAAAUUUGAAAUCUGGCGCAAGCCCGAGUUGUAAUUUGCAGAGGAUGUUUCGGGUGAAGCCACGGUCCAAGUCCCUUGGAACAGGACGUCAUAGAGGGUGAGAACCCCGUACCUGGCCGUCGGUGCCCCCCGCUGUGAAACUCCUUCGACGAGUCGAGUUGUUUGGGAAUGCAGCUCUAAAUUGGUGGUAAAUUCCAUCUAAAGCUAAAUACCGGCCAGAGACCGAUAGCGCACAAGUAGAGUGAUCGAAAGAUGAAAAGCACUUUGAAAAGAGAGUUAAAAAGUACGUGAAAUUGUUGAAAGGGAAGCGCUUGCGGCCAGACUUGCCCGCGGUUGCUCAGCCCGCCUUUUGGCGGGUGCACUCUUCCGCGGUCAGGCCAGCAUCGGUUUGGGCGGUCGGAUAAAGGCGUCGGGAACGUGGCCUCCCCUCGGGGAGGUGUUAUAGCCCGGCGCGCAAUGCGACCAGCCCGGACCGAGGUUCGCGCUUUGCUAGGAUGCUGGCGUAAUGGCCGUAAGCGGCCCGUCUUGAAACACGGACCAAGGAGUCUAACAUCUAUGCGAGUGUUUGGGUGUCAAACCCGUGCGCGUAAUGAAAGUGAACGGAGGUGGGAACCGCAAGGUGCACCAUCGACCGAUCCUGAUGUCUUCGGAAGGAUUUGAGUAAGAGCAUAGCUGUUGGGACCCGAAAGAUGGUGAACUAUGCGUGAAUAGGGUGAAGCCAGAGGAAACUCUGGUGGAGGCUCGCAGCGGUUCUGACGUGCAAAUCGAUCGUCAA
rnacentral:rRNA from 1 species